UGGGGAAUAUUGGGCAAUGGGCGCAAGCCUGACCCAGCAACGCCGCGUGAAGGAAGAAGGCUUUCGGGUUGUAAACUUCUUUUGUCAGGGACGAGUAGAAGACGGUACCUGACGAAUAAGCACCGGCUAACUCCGUGCCAGCAGCCGCGGUAAUACGGAGGGUGCAAGCGUUAUCCGGAUUUAUUGGGUUUAAAGGGUGCGUAGGCUGUAAGUCAAGUCAGCGGUGAAAAGUCGGGGCUAAACCUUGAGGGUGCCGUUGAAACUGAUUUACUAGAAUGUGGAUGAUGCCGGCGGAAUGUGUCAAGUAGCGGUGAAAUGCAUAGAUAUGACACAGAAGGCCGAUUGCGAAGGCAGCUGGCAAAGGCACGAUUGACGCUGAGGCACGAAAGUGCGGGGAUCGAACAGGAUUAGAUACCCUGGUAGU
rnacentral:rRNA from 1 species